AUUGAACGCUGGCGGCAGGCCUAACACAUGCAAGUCGAGCGAGCGGCGGACGGGUGUGUAAUGUAUGGGAAACUGCCUGAUGGAGGGGGAGAACUACUGUAAACGGAAUCUAAUACCCCAUACCAUCAGAUGUGCCCCGAUGGGAUUAGCUGGUGGGUGGGGUAACGGCUCACCUAGGCGACGAUCCCUAGCUGGUCUGAGAGGACGACCAGCCACACUGGGACUGAGACACGGUCCAGACUCCUACGGGAGGCAGCAGUGGGGAAUAUUGCACAAUGGGCGCAAGCCUGAUGCAGCCAUGCCGCGUGUGUGAAGAAGGCCUUCGGGUUGUAAAGCACUUUCAGCGGGGAGGCGUUACCCGCAGAAGAAGCACCGGCUAACUCCGUGCCAGCAGCCGCGGUAAUUC
rnacentral:rRNA from 1 species